ACUGUGCUUAAUGUCUAAUUUACUGUCUUCAUAGCCUUAUUACUUGGUUGUAUGUCCAGGUUGAUCUUGGAUCACUACAAGAUACUGUUCCUAUAGAUAGAAUCGUGGUCUUGCAAGGCGGUUGGAGUUCUUUUGGGAAGGGAUCUGCAGGGGAGAUUCUACUUCGGCUUACAUACAAAGCCUAUGUGGAGGAUGAAGAAGAUGACAUAACUGAUGUGAAACACAUCGAUGCCGAUGUUUCUGAUGAUGAACUGCCUGAUUCUGAAGAAGUUGGCUCAUUUGUGUGGAAUGAAAAGAUUUCUUCAGAUGAAUCAGGCCAAGAGUCAUUUAUGGAUGUGCUGUCUGCACUGAUAGUGAGUGAGGAGUUUCAGGGCAUAGUUUCAGGAGAAGCGGCAAACAGUAAACUUUCUAAUGGCUACUCAAGUGUUGUACCUGUAUCUUCAGGAUCUCAGGUAGUCUCAAAAAAUCUACCUGUAGAUCCAGGUAAUGCAUCUGAAAGCAAUAUGAGCAUAUCAGAUUCAGAAUCUGUUGCUGCAAAUUCUGAUAAAGAUUCUGAUGAUGGAGGAUUAGCUUUAUUAUGGUUUGGUGUAAUCACAAGCAUACUGGUGCUCAUUGCUGUCAGUAUGAGCGGCUCAAAUUUCUUCAACCCAUAAAAACGGUGUUGUAUUACUUGUUUGCUUGCUACUUCAGAUUUCUGUUGCCCAAGUCGGUUAAUGUUAUCUUCUCAAUCUCAGAGACAGCUUAUAAAGAGGUUCAAUUUGGUUUUACAUGCUAACGCUGUUGUAUGCAUAGUCAUUAGAACGGGGACACUAUGCAUUGGCGGAAGGAAAUUUUGGAUCUAUUUUCUCCGAUCCCCUAAAACUGUGAUACCGUGUAUACCUGUGAUUACAUGAGAGAAAAUCACUUAGUAAUCUUGUUGAAAUAUAGUUCUCACAAUAAAAAAUUAUGUUUUCCAUAACACAGCCGAAAGGUUCAUUGAGAAGCACGAGCUUGAGAAAAGUAUUUUCUCGAAAUUCUCAAUACGACGCAAAACUUUUGGAAGCAUUUAUAUUUUCUUGUGUUUUUUAGUUUUUCUGUUCAUUAGAUAAAGCAACCAUGAUCUUGUACCUUGGAUCAACUACAAUGGAACAACUAAAGUUGAUGGAGACUGCUAUGGAAGUAUAAAGAGGAUUUUGGUGGGUGUGCAAAAGUGAUUCAUAGAGUUGGAUAUCGGUAGAACCUACCCCACAAUAGGUUCAAUUAAAUCCUUUUUAAGGUUUACAUAUAGAGCUCACCCCGAGAACUAGUUUGUCGAGGGUGAGUGCCCAUAGUAUUUGUAAGGCAUCGACCAAUUUACUCGAUGCGUUGGUGAAUCCCUGGUCGGUAGGUGCUUAGAUUGUUUAGCGGCUCUCUACCCUUUGAUCACGUGUUCCGUUUCCAUCGUUUUCAAGUUCCGAAAUACGCCCAUAAAACCUCAGUUUUACGUUACUCGGUUAAUAUUCUUGGUUACUCUUUAAGAGCUCUCUUGUUGUUCUACCACUCGUAGAAUUUGGUGUUUUGAUCUUGCGUUCUUGUAAUGUAAUCCCAAGUUCUUCGCGAUGUAACUUUACUUGCAUUUGUGCUUUUGAUAUUCAUCUGUUGCUGAC